rnacentral:rRNA from 1 species
CAGCCGCCGCGGGAAUACGUAGGGUGCAAGCGUUAAUCGGAAUUACUGGGCGUAAAGCGUGCGCAGGCGGUCCGCUAAGACAGAUGUGAAAUCCCCGGGCUUAACCUGGGAACUGCAUUUGUGACUGGCGGGCUAGAGUAUGGCAGAGGGGGGUAGAAUUCCACGUGUAGCAGUGAAAUGCGUAGAGAUGUGGAGGAAUACCGAAGGCGAAGGCAGCCCCUUGGGAAUGUACUGACGCUCAUGUGCGAAAGCGUGGGGAGCAAACAGGAUUAGAUACCCGCGUAGUCCCUGUCUCUUAUAC